rnacentral:tRNA from 1 species
GGCUUGUGGCUCAGUGGUAGAGUACUUGUCUAGAGCACUGGGUUUGAUCCUCAGCACCACAUAAAAAUAAAUAAAUAAAGUGAUUGUGUACAUCUACAACUAGAAAAAUAAAUAUAAUUAAAAGAAAGGCUUAAUGAGGACCUGGGUUCAAUCCCCAGUACCA